GUCCACGCCGUAAACGAUGAAUACUUGGUGUUGGAGGUAUUGACCCCCUUCAGUGCCGAAGCUAACGCGUUAAGUAUUCCGCCUGGGAAGUACGGUCGCAAGAUUAAAACUCAAAGAAAUUGACGGGGGCCCCGCACAAGCGGUGGAGCAUGUGGUUCAAUUCGAUGCAACGCGAAGAACCUUACCUAGAUUUGACAUAUACAGGAAGACUACCAGAAAUGGUGUCGCCUUCGGGCCUGUAAACAGGUGCUGCAUGGCUGUCGU
rnacentral:rRNA from 1 species